ACCUACUUCUCAAAUGAGUAUUGACCGCCCCAAUUCUGUGCAGGGAGGGUGCAAAACAGCAGAAUAUCUGUGGUACAACUUUCUGGAGCAUCAAUUUUACUACAAGAUUUGGAAGAAACAAAGUUAAGUAAUUUCCGAGCUAUUCUUCACUCAGCAUCCA